AUGGCKGUCGUCAGCUCGUGUCGUGAGAUGUUGGGUUAAGUCCCGCAACGAGCGCAACCCACGUCUUUAGUUGCCAGCAUUCAGUUGGGCACUCUAGRGAGACCGCCGGUGAUAAACCGGAGGAAGGUGUGGAUGACGUCAAGUCAUCAUGCCCCUUACAUCCUGGGCUACACACGUACUACAAUGCUACGGACAAAGGGCAGCAAACUCGCGAGAGCUAGCAAAUCCCAUAAACCGUGGCUCAGUUCAGAUCGUAGGCUGCAACUCGCCUACGUGAAGGAGGAAUCGCUAGUAAUCGCAGGUCAGCAUACUGCGGUGAAUACGUUCCCGGGCCUUGUACRCACCGCCCGUCACACCAUGGAAGUUGGCCAUGCCCGAAGUCGUUACUCCAACCCGCAAGGGAGGAGGACGCCGAAGGUGGGGCUGAUGACUGGGGUGAAGUCGUAACAAGGUAGCCGUACCGGAAGGUGCGGCUGGAUCACCUCCUAAC
rnacentral:rRNA from 1 species